ensembl:lncRNA
AUUUGUAGCACUUAUAAGAAUAAAGAAGUCAGAAGGCUGACUAGGUUUCAAAAAGGAAAUGUGAUUUUGGUUUUGAAAACUCAUUUAUGCUAAAAUGCCAGCAGUACAGACAAAGAGAGAAGUCCAGCAGAUUGUUGGAAUUAAAGGUCUGGAAUCCAGGAGGCAAGAGAGUCCUGGAGGGAAGCUCUAUAGAGGUAAGGAGUGGUCACUGAGGUCACAGCAGUGGAUAACACUACUGAGAGAGAGAAGAAGAGGUGGGGGAAGGGGAGGAGAGAAAGACAGCCGAGGGAAAGACUCUUUGAGAAUGUUUUUCUUUUUCUUUUCCUCAGCUGAGGAGGAGUCACUUAGAAAACCUGAGAAAGACUAUUCUUUGUUGCAGGAGGAGAACUACUGCUAUUACAAUGUACAGGAGUCAUUUCAAGAAGAGGAUGUCAACAGGGUCAUUUUAAACCCUGGAGUGGGUAAAGGUGAAGGUUCUUUGAGUUAUGAAAGCACAAUGAGUGAAUGGAGAGACGGUCGAGUAGGAUAAGAUAAGAAUGUUAACAAUCUCCAUUGAAGACAACAGGCAAAGGUCCUGGAAUUGGAGUCAUGAGACUUGGGUCUCCAGCCAGGGCUUUGUCACUGGUGAGCUGAGAGGCUGAGGCAGGUUACUGCCCCACUGGGUGUCACUGCAAAACAAGGGGCUUGAGCAAAACAAAUCUCUGGGCUGUUUUCCAACUGUUUGAUACUGUGAAUAGAAAGACAGAACAUAAUUAUGUCUUAUUUGGGAGCUGCAUUGCCCUUGUCUGAAAACUCAAGUUUGGGGACAGCAAGUAGACUUCACUUUGUUUACCAAUCUGUUCUAGCUGUGUUGAUUGCCUGAAAUGUGGGAAAGGGUAGCGUAAAUGACUACAAGAUCUUCCAUGCGAGGGCAGGCAGUUACAUCCCUAGUGCCUCAUUUGUCUCUUUUCCUGCUCUUUCACAGCUAAUAAUCCUUCUGUGAAACUUUUAAUUGCAUCUAGGCUGCCUAAAAUACAAGUACCAUCAGAUCAUAAAGUCCCAUGCCCAGUACAAAGCCUGUUACCUGACAAGUACUCAGUAGCAUUUUUUGAAUGAAUGAAUAUGGGUCUGUAUACUAAGGGCCUGUCUAGAGCGAUAGCACAACCAAAGGAGAGGACCGCAAUAGCACUGGACUCAUAUAGAGAGAACAGUCCUAUUUCACGUGUUGUCUAAGGGUACUUGCUAACACUGGUUUUUAUUUUCUCUGAGACUGAAUGUCAGCUCUUAACUUGAUAGAGGAGAGUACAGCAAUGAUGGGAAGAGGAAUUUCCCUGGGAUUCAGUGAACACUUCAUUUGGAUAUUGCUUCUUUCUUGAAUGCUUUCACUGAGAGUUUGAAUAGGAGGCCAUCAGCUUGAGAAAAGAUUUAAAAUGGAUCCUAGCUGCUCCUUAUUGCUCAGAUUUUCCAACCACAGGUGAAGUUUCCCUGUGUCUUGAAGACCUCAUUCUGCUCCCCUGUACUCUUCGUUUGUGUUGGAGGGGGCACAUUAUUAUAGUUGGGUAUUAAGCUUUUCGGAAGGCUGAGAGAGAAGGAGGCUUUCUUGGUAAGCCUGGCUCUGUGGCUUGGCAGUCACACAAGAAAAUGACUUUAUCCCCAAACCAGAUGUUCAAGUUGUUUUAAUAAUAUCUUAUGAGCCCUCCUCUAAAUAAAACAAAAACUCACUCUAUCA